rnacentral:lncRNA from 1 species
GCAUCAUUUCUGAUGCCGUUUCUUUCUUGCAGCUAUGUCUGGUGUUCACAUGGUGAGAUUCUCACUUUGUUUCCUUGCUCAGAAUCCAUGGUUUUCCAUAACAAGGCCAACCCAGCACCAUUAAGGUCUUCAGGUUACAAACAAUAACAAACACCACCAAAGGACAGGCUUCAGAAAAAUGGAAAAUUGAUCUAACAAGGAAGAAGUAUUAUGAAGCAAUGUUAAAAAGAAAUUGGUAAUAAUUGCCAACAGAGAAAACCCUUCAAAGAGAGUUGCUGCUUUUCCUAAGGGUUUCCAAGGAUCCAAAAACCUUCGGAAGUUCCAAGGAUCAAGUCCCAGGAUCUAAGCUGGACCUUUCCUGGAACAAAUUCCUUCAGACAAAUUCUCCACCAGACCAUCAACUCAGGAGGGCAAACAAGGAACUUGUUUUCAAGAGCUGGAGCCAAACCACCCAGAGUUUCCUGUGCCAGGUGAGCAUGAAGAGGGGCCGAAGUCACCCAUUACUAACCCCUCACCCAUGACUGCCUGAAAGGUAUGUCUCAGGCUUUAACCAUGAAACCUGUUUCCUCUCUCCCCUCCAAAGUCCAGCCCAGAGAGGCAUGAUAAAAUCACUUAGCAAAUGGAAAAUAUUUUGUGCUUAUUCUAAGAAAUGUGAUCCAUCAAAAAUGAGCUGACAAGUCAUUUCAUUUCCAAGGACAGUGUCCACAUACUCCAGGCAGCCUCUGGACCUGGAAUAAGACACAUCUAAGCCACAGGCCAGUAAGGACCAUACAGCUAUAACGUUAUGAGUGAUUCUGUAGCAUGGUUUUAAGGCACCAGCUGCACAGUCAGACUGCCUGGUUUCAGCCCAGCUCCCUCAUUUGCUAGCUGUGAAAACUGGGUGAAUUGCUUAAGCAACCCUUAAUGACAUUUUGUUGUUUUAAAAACGGCAAUAAUAAUAAUACUCCCUUCUUCAUAUGAUUGUUUUGAGAUUUGGAUAAGGCAAUAGGUGCUUUAUUCGAUAAGGACCCUAGAACAUACAAAUCUAUUUUAAAAAUGCUAUUAAUAUGGUUUUGCCCUAAAAAGGCAGGUUCUUCUGUUUCUCAAAUCUGACAAAGUUUUGUCAGACUCUUGAAUUCUCAUUAAUAGUUCCAACACAGACUAUUAAUGCUGUUAGUUUUGACCAAAUACAUGACUCAUGAAUUAACUAACUCUUACUUGGUAAUCUGAAGGAAUCAAUAAAAUCCACACUUAAUUCCCCCUAAAUCAACUGAACAACUAUGGACUAUGGAAUUGGGGAGAUCUGUCUAAAUGGCAGCAAUAUCAACUACGAAAAAUAUUUAUUUAGAGUCUGGGUAGGUACCAAGUUCAAUGAACUGCUUAGAGAGUCUGUGUUGCUUUGGUGACUGUUCUAGGCAGUGCUAAUUUUGCUACAAUUUCCUUUCUUAAGUAAGUCACAACCAGAAUAAAAACAAAGUUCUAGAAAUCCCAUAUUUUUACAAACUGGAUUGAUGAAACCAGUUUUUAAAAUAUCAGAGGACCAGACUGAAAAAGAAACCAGGUGUAGCAAAAGGCAACUCUUCUGGAAACUGAAAAUUCAAAGAAACAUGGUAAUCUCACUGUAUUAAUUUUCUUUUCCUCUUGUAACAAAUUACCACAAGCUUAGUGGCUUAAAACAACACAAAUUUAUAUCCUACAGUUUGUGGAGAAGUAUGAAGUGGGUCUUCCAGGGCUAAAAUCAGUGCUGGUAGAGAGGGGGUACAGAGAAUCUGUUCCUAUUCUUUUCAGCUUCUAGAGAAAGCCUGGGUUCCUUGGCUCAAAGUUUCUUCCAGCAGGGGCAUCUCUCUGACCUCUGUUUCCACUGCCUCAGCUCCUACUCUCACUCGAACCCUCCUGCAUCCCUCUUAUAGGAACCCUUGUGAUUACACUGAGCCUUCUCAAUCAAUGCAGGAUAAUCUUCUAUCUAUCUCAAGACCCGUAAUGUAAUCACAUCUGCAAAGUCCCUUUUGCCAUUUGAGGUAACAAAUCCAUAGGCUCCAAGAAUUAAGAUAUGGACAUCUUUUAGGGGACCAUUCUUCUGACUACCAUACUCCCCUAGCUGAAGAAUUAUUGUGUGAAACAGGGAUAAAGGCAGAACUAAUAUAAAUGAGUCAAAGUGGCCAGGAGGUGAAAUUUGGCUCCAAACAGAAGAAUCUCAAUAAUGAUAAGAGGUGAGUGAAAAAGGACAGGAGCUUUUGAGGAGGAUGUGGGCUCUUUAUCACUAGGGCUGAGCCUCUCUUUCUAAACAUUCACUCCCUCUGCCCAUGUUGGGGUUUUGAUUGCAUGGCAUUUGAGGGUCUUUCCAAUUUUAAGCUUCCAGGUCUUUGAAAAUUUGGAAGGUGUGUCAGUCAGUGUAUAGGCUAGGCUAUGCUGGGUAACAACCAAUCCCCCAAAUCUCAGUGAUUUCAAUCAACACAUCCAUUGUUGGACUGCAUUAGCUCUGGUCGUUGUGGUCCUCUAGGGACUAAAGAGACACCACCACUGCAGACAUAGCUAGCCACAGUGCCAGCAGGAUAGAGAGUUCUGGAGGGUCUAGAAAGAGCAACUGAUACCCUGGUCCACAAGGGUCACACAACACUUACACUAACAGCUCCUCAGUCAGAACUAGUCACAAGUCUCUGGCCAACUAAAAGGAAGACCAGGAUAAAGAGCCAAUCUGGAAGGCAAAGAAACAGAAAUAUUGACGAGUGCAAAUAGUGACUGUGACAGGAAACAAUUGACCCUCUCCAUCAAUCAAUUCACAGAUUUUAGUCAUAAAAGGAGUCAUAAAACUCUUUUGACCCCUAAAGAGUUUUUCUAAACAGGGUGACGGUCAAUCGAUUAUCCUAGGCUCACUGAUGCAACAAGAUUGUCUUAAGCAUGUUCUUCUUUCUUGAUUUUAGCUCCAUGGUUAGGGUUUCACUUUCAAAAGAUUAAUAAUAAGGUGAUAAUGAUGAUGAUAAUGAUGAUGAUGAUGGUAAUGCAUGCUUUUUGAAAAUCACAGUGUACUGAGCAUUGUACUCAGCAUUUUCCACAUUUAUUUUUUGAAUCUCAGGCAUAGAGGCAUGAGUGAAUCACACUUCUGAUUUCAUAGCAUACUUCUAUUGUAAGACUCAUACAAAGACUCUCUCAUGGUGUAUUUUAUUCAUGUGUCCCCUCUCCUCAUUUUAUCAACCAUAAUGUCUUUGAUAUGAUACCUUAAUAUUUUGUAUAUUUUUGCAAAUUGUAUAGUGUUGUUGUUAUGUAGGUAUUUUUAAUUCUAUAAAAGUAUAUUCAUGUAUACUGGUUCUGUUUAUUUCUUCCUUACAUUCGGAUCUUACUGCAUUUAUGAGUAUAUGUCUCACGUAGUUAAUGUCUUAUAACAGUAACGUAAUAUUCCAUACUGUGUGUCCAUUAUAGUUCCCUUAGCUUUUCCCCUGCAAUGGAACAUCUAGGUUGUCUAAUGUUCCCUGAUACUUUAAACCAGGGGUCAGCAAACAUUUUUUAUAAAGAGUGACACAGUAAAUAUAUUUGGCUUUGGGGGUUCUGAAGUCUUGGUUUUAAGGAUUUUGCUGCUGUUAUACCAUAAAAGCAGCCAUAGACAGUGCACAAAUACAUGCCUGUGGACAUAUUUGGCCCAUUGGUCAUAUUUGACAAUCCCUAGUUCAAACACCAUGGUGAUGAAUAUCCUCUAUGUGUUCCCUUAUGAAAUUGGGGCUAGAUGUUCUCUCAAAUAUACUGUACAAACAAGAGUGAGAUUGCAGCAUCAUAAGAUAUGCCCAAACAUCAUUAGACUAAGUAUUUCUGGUUGCAUCAGCCUGUUCUCUUAACAACAGUUAAUAAAAAUAAGAGCCCUCAGAAAUAACG